CCGACCGCCUUGGAGGGGCUCCGGCACUUGAGCGGGGUAGGAAGAACUGGGGAGGCGGGGCGUGCCCGCAGCGGGCGCGCGGGUCCCUUUUGUUCUUAGCAUUUGCACGGUCCCAGGGCCGCGGCACAAUGAAGGACGGGCUGGGGCCACGAGAAUCCGCGACGGGGCCUGGCAUCCCGCGCAGCGAGAGCCUGCGAGCCGAAAGCGAGCGGGAGGUCUUCGCGUUGGUGCAGCACUGACCAUCUGGAAAUACCGAGACGGACCGCCAGGGCCGGCCAUCCACGCAGACGAGACCACAUGGGUGUGACCUGCGCAGGCUGAAUCACAGGCCUUCAUUCGCUUCCUGUUGACUCAGAUAAGCUAGGAGGAGAAACUGGCAGCCAAAAGUAAAUUUCUGCUUAAAGUCAAA